rnacentral:rRNA from 1 species
GCCGGCAGCUAGCUCUCUGCAACUCUCACAUGGUCGCCCACUGAAGCUAAGCAGGGCUGCGCCUGGUCAGUACCUGGAUGGGAGACCACAUGGGAAAGCUAGGUUGCUGCCUGAA